UCUGCUCCUGCUGCAGGCAGUGCGGCUCUGGCGGUUCUCCAUUUCCAAGGGAGAGAUGCCUUUGGGAGCCCACUGGAGAUUCCAGCCUCGGAGGCAGUGUAAGAACACAGUAUGAAAGCAAAAUCAUGGAGACUCCGGGGAUCCAGUGCUCCUCUUGGAGUGCAGAAUUUAUCCUUGAGUGAUCAUAUGGAUGUUUUUAUCAUUUUAGGAACUGGGUGUCUGGCUUUGUUCCCGACACCAUCGGUGUGCCACCAGCACUUGGUUCAGCUGCUUCCUCUCCUCACUGAGCUCCUCUGAUAUUUCCUUGUGGAGAAGAACCAUGGUGGGCUGCAGGUCCUCCUGAAUUCACCAAGAAGCGGCACUGAGUGCCAAAAGCAAAGUGUGGUUUAAUCUUCAAAGGAUGACAAAAUGGUUUGUCAAGAGAUUGGCCUCUUUGGAAAUCAUGGCUUAUGUCAGUCCCCAGCAUCUGAGGCCAAUCAAGCUGUGCACAGUGCAGGACCUCCAUCGGCAGCACCCCAACCCGGCUGGGCAGAGCAGUGUCUGUGGGUGCUGCCGGGGCCACCCCUCCUCACACUGCACAGUGUGUGGGAUGAGCUAGAGGGGAUGUCAGACAAGAGGGGCUGCCAGGUGCAGAGAUCACCUGGCCUCUGAAUGAGGCGGUUAUGGGAAGCAUUGGAGGACUGUGUGAACUGAGAGACGAACAGAGUGUGCAUAAGGAUGGGCUGCCCCUCGGAGCUGGCAUGCCGUGUUUUCCUGCUGUCUCAUUGACUUCUUGCCAAAAAGGCCAAAAUGUCAGAGUUUUCUCAGGAAUUCUAAAGUUGGAACUUAAAAGUACUUGGAGCACUUGGUUUAAUAGACCUUCACAUCAGCGUAUUCCCAGUUCCACACAGCUCCCCAGUGACAUGGGACCUUUUGUCAAGCACAUAUGAAAUUAAGUGAAAUAAAAAUCAUAUUAAAAAUUAUUACCAUCUAA